rnacentral:rRNA from 1 species
CUGGAAGGAGAGGUGGCCCAAAAGGGAAUCGUGGGCUUCCACUUUUCUCGCUCCAGGAUGGGACUGCGGCCGAUCAGGCUGUUGGCGGGGUAAUGGCCCACCAAACCUGUAACCGGUACGGGCCUUGAGAGAGGUGGCCCGGAGAUGGACACUGAGACAAGGGUCCAGGUCCUACGGGGCGCAGCAGGCGCGAAACCUUCGCAAUGCGCGAAAGCGUGACGAGGUUAAUCCGAGUGGCUUCCGCUGAGGAAGUCUUUUGCCGACUUUAAAAAGGUCGGAGAAUAAGGGGAGGGCAAGUCUGGUGUCAGCCGCCGCGGUAAUACCAGCUCCUCGAGUGGUCGGGGCGAUUAUUGGGCCUAAAGCAUCCGUAGCCGGUUCCGUAGGUCUCCUGCAAAAUCCAGUCGCUCAACGAUUGGCCCGCAGGAGAUACCGCGGGACUAGGAGGCGGGAGAGGCAAGCGGUACUCAGUGGGUAGGGGUAAAAUCCCUUGAUCCAUUGAAGACCACCAGUGGCGAAGGCGGCUUGCCAGAACGCGCUCGACGGUGAGGGAUGAAAGCUGGGGGGGCAAACCGGAUUAGAUACCCGGGUAGUCCCAGCUGUAAACGAUGCAGACUCGGUGAUGGGCUAGCCUUGUGCCAGCCCAGUGCCGCAGGGAAGCCGUUAAGUCUGCCGCCUGGGGAGUACGGUCGCAAGACUGAAACUUAAAGGAAUUGGCGGGGGAGCACCACAAGGGGUGAAGCCUGCGGUUCAAUUGGACUCAACGCCGGU